rnacentral:rRNA from 1 species
AACGCGAAGAACCUUACCAGCUCUUGACAUGUCCAGUAUGGGGCCGAGAGAUCGACUCCUUCAGUUCGGCUGGCUGGAACACAGGUGCUGCAUGGCUGUCGUCAGCUCGUGUCGUGAGAUGUUGGGUUAAGUCCCGCAACGAGCGCAACCCUCACCUUCAGUUGCCAUCAGGUUAUGCUGGGCACUCUGGAGGAACUGCCGGUGACAAGCCGGAGGAAGGCGGGGAUGACGUCAAGUCCUCAUGGCCUUUAUGGGCUGGGCUACACACGUGCUACAAUGGCGGUGACAGAGGGACGCGAAGGGGCAACCCUUGGCCAAUCUCAAAAAGCCGUCUCAGUUCGGAUUGUUCUCUGCAACUCGAGAGCAUGAAGCUGGAAUCGCUAGUAAUCGCGGAUCAGCACGCCGCGGUGAAUACGUUCCCGGGCCUUGUACACACCGCAUAC